rnacentral:lncRNA from 1 species
UACCGAAGAAAUGUCAUAUAUUUAGACUUGAUGAACAAGAAAUAAAGAAGCAAAGAUCUUUGACGGAUCUUUUAUACAUAUCUCAUUAUAUAAGAUAAAUAAGGAGUUUAUCAAAUGAAUUCUCAAAAAACUCCUUUUAACUUGCGAAUCUAUAAGCCUUCAGCGGCAGCACUUGGUGCAGACUGGGGGAACCACCUCUAUGUUGCAGUCACAACAGGCUUUUUGGCAUGUGCUCGUGCAUGCUGCAAAUACAAAACCAAAAAAAAAUAUAAAAAAUAAAAUACAAUUAAAAGCAAAAAUGACAAUGUCAAAUAAGUAGCAAAUACAUACCAAAAGUAUUUUUAGAAAGUUUGAUCUUAAAACAUAUCGUGACAUUUCUAUGACUAUAGAAAAAUAUUAUUAAAGAUAAAACAAAAAGUUUAAAGUUAAUUUUUUUUAAAUAUAAAAAGAUUUAUUGUUUACAAAAAUCGACUUAAAAGAAAGAGCGCUAUACAAAAUGAAAAGGAAAUAGAAUUGUACGGAAGAUAAUAACAUCUAAUGCUCGCCCAUGCUGCAGACGGCUAACGACAAGCGGCUUUGGGGAAUUAGCUCCAGCUUCAACCUCCACACAAGUUAUAGAGGCCCACAGAACAAGAAUAGAGGCAAUUACUAAGAACUUUGCCAUGAUUUCACCAAUUUAAAAAUGAAAAACAACCAGGAAAUUGUAGUUUAUAGUAUUGGAGAUAUUUUGUUUAAUAUGACCAGGCUGCUUUUUAUAUAGAAAUGAUGGUGCUCUAAAAAGUAGUAAAAGAAAGGGCUCAAGAUUGAGUGAAUCUCAGACGAAUUGUUUUUACCAAUAUUAACGUAUCGAUAGACAUAAGGAAUAAAAUUCAAAAAUUCAGUUUAUUCACACAAGGUAAGUUAGUAAAUGCUGCAAACUAGAGCUAGAUAUGACCAAAAUGAACUUUCAUUAAUUAUAUUUCAUCAAUCUCUUUUUGAAUAAUUUUCAUACCAAGCAGUUAGUUAACCAUUCUAUAUUAAAAAGGGUUGACCAAUAUUAAUAUGUAGAUAAAUAGACAUAAGAAAUAGAAUGCAAGAAUUCAAUUCAUUCAUCCAAGAUAAGUAAGUAAAUGCUGCAAAAUCUAGAGCAAGAUAUGACCCAAAUAAACUUUCAUUAAUUGUAUAUCAUCUUUCUCUUCUUGGAUAGAAUUCAUACCAAGCAACUAAAUUGACCAAACUUUCGGGCAAAAAAUGCAAUUUGUAGUGCCUCAAAAAAUACUUUUUCUUCAAAAUUUUACGUAAAAGCUUUCUAAAAAACGACACGGACCACGCAUGCAAACCAAUAAACAUCUAAUAAAGCUAUGAAACGUCUUGGAAUACAGAAAUUAAGGCUAAUACUCAAAACAACUUAUCGUCUCGUCAUAUUCUCCACCUCUAAAAGAAACGUUCGUCCUUGAACAAACAUAAAAGUGUAUAUGCACUGGUUAAAAGGUGGGGGUAUCUACUCCGCAUAUCGUACUCGGACUCCCACGUAGCUUCCUUAAUCGAUUUACCUCUCCAUUGCACUCUCACAGAAGAAAAACUCUUAUAUUUCAACUUACGAACCUGCCAGUCUAUAAUAGCAAUUGACUCUUCCUUAUAGGUCAAAUUCUCAUCAAGUUGAACUAUGCUAAAGUCUAAAAAUAUGACCUAUUUCAUGGUACUUCCAAAGCAUGGAAACAUGAAAUACCGGAUGUACACCUGCUAGGCUAGUAGGCAAUGCAAGCCUUUAAGCAGCCUCUCCAGCUCUCUCCAAGAUCUCAAACGAGACAAUAAACCUUGGGCUCAACUUUCCCUUCUUCCCAAGCCGCAUCACACCCUUCAUAGGUGACACUCUGAGGAGAACCUUCUUACCCGCCAUGUAGGCCACAUCUCGAAAAUUUUGAUCCGCAUAACUCUUUUUCCUGGACUGAGCUAUACGAAAUUGCUCCUGAACCACGUUAACCUUUUCCAAAGCAUCACGGACCAAAUCAGUGCCCAACAAUCUAGUCUCAUUGGGUUCAAACCAACCAAUUGGUGAAUGGCAUUACCUCCCAUAUAAGACCUCGUACGGAGCCAUCUGGAUGUUCAACUGAUAGUUGUUGUUGUAGGCAAACUUCACUAGAGGUAAAAAUUGGUCCGUUGACCCUCGAAAUCUAUAGAGCAUGCCCACAACAUGUCCUCUAAUAUCUCAAUAGUGCACUCUAAAUGUCCGUCCAUCUGAGGAUGAAACGUGGUACUCAGAUUGACUCGCAUGCCUGACUUACACUGCACGGCUCUCCAAAAAUGCGAUGUGAGUGCCUCGGUUAGAAAUGAUGGAAAUGGGCAUGUCAUGCUGGUGGAUAAUCUCUCGGGUGUAAAUUAGAGCCAACCGCUCUGAAGAAUAGGAAGUCAUCACCGGAAUGAAGUGUGCAGACUUAGUUAACCAUUCCACAAUAACCCAAACUGUGUCAUAUUUCAUCAAAGUCAGUGGUAAGGCUACCAAAAAAUUCGUAGUAAUGCGAUCCCACUUCCACUCCGGUAUCUCCAAUCUCUGAGUCAACCUACCCGAUUUCUUAUGCUCGUACUUCGCCUAUUGACAAUUCAAACAUCGAGAGACAUAAUCAACAAUAUCUUUCUUCACCAUUCGCCACCAAUAGUGUUGUUUAAAGUCCCGAUACAUCUUCAUGACACCUGGGUGAAUGGAAUAGCACGAACUGUGAGCCUCCUCAAGGAUCAUCUAUCUCAACCCAUCAACAUUUGGAACACAAAUCCUGCCUUGAAGCUGCAUAACACCAUCAUCUCCAAUCACAAUCUCCUUGGCAUUACCCCGCCGCACCAUAUCCUUCAAUAUCAACAAGUGAGGAUCAUCAAACUGGUGAGCCUUGAUAUGCUCCAACAACGAUGACUAUGCCACAACACAAGCAAGAACCCGGCAAGGCUCCGAAACAUCCAACCUCACGAACCGGUUGUCCAGAGCCUGAACAUCCAUGACUAGUAGCCUCUCCAUUACCGAUAAAUAUGCCAAACUACCCAUGCUGUCAACCUUCCUUUUCAAUGCAUCGGCCACUACAUUGGCCUUCCACGAAUGAUAUAGUUUGGUGAUAUCAUAGUCUUUCAAGAACUUUAUCCAUCUCCACUACCGCAAAUUAAAGUCCUUCUGCUUGAACAAGUGCUGGAGACUCUGAUGGUCGGUAUAGACCUCACAUGGAAUGUUGUAUAGAUAGUGCCUCAAAUUUUUAGUGCCUGAAUAAUGGCUGCCAACUCUAAAUCAUGUAUAGCAUAAUUCUUCUCAUGAACCUUCAACUGUCGAGAUGCGUAGGCAAUCACCCUACCGUCCUGCAUCAAUAUCGCGCCAAGCCUAAUACGCAUGCAUCAUAAUAUAUGGUGUAAGAUCCCGAAUCUGUAGGAAACACCAACAUUGACGUUGUAGUCAAUGUAGUCUUGAGCUUUUGAAAGCUCACCUCACACUCGUCGGACCAUCUGAAAAGAGUACCCUUCUAGGUCAACGAGACUGAGAUAGAUGAAAACCACUCCACGAACGAGCAAUAAUAACCUGCCAAACCUAAGAACUUUCGAAUCUCUUUAGCUAAAGUAGGUCUAGGCCAGUUCUGAAAUACCUCAACCUUCUUAGGAUCUACCUUGAUGCCCAGAAGAUACAAUAUAUCCCCAAAAGGCAACUAAGUCCAGCUAAAACCCACACUUUGAAAACUUGGCAUAUAACUGACGAUCCCCUAGAACUUGAAGUACGAUCUGCAAAUGUUACUUAUGCUCCUCUCGACUGUAGGAGUAAAUCAAAAUAUCGUCAAUGAAGACGAUCACAAAGGAAUCCAGAUAAGGCUUGAAUACUCGGUUCAUCACAUCCAUAAAGGCUGUUGAGGCAUUAGUUAAGCCAAAUGACAUCACCAAGAACUUUUAAUUACCAUACCGAGUCCGAAAAGCAAUCUUAGGGGCAUAUAAUGCUUUAAUCUUUACCUGAUGGUAGCCAGAUCUCAAGUCAAUCUUGGAAAACACCUUGUCACCCUGGAGCUGGUCAAAUAAUUCACCAAUCCUCGGCAACAGAUACUUUUUCUUGAUAGUGACCUUGUUCAAUUGUCGAUAUCAAGUCUUUCAACUCAAUUGGGGCCAUACUAUUAUUGAAAGAACCGACCUUGCACAUUUGUAUCGAUCUAUCCUUCUUUUGCACACACCAAUACCAGUUCACCCCAAGGAGAGACACUAGGUUUAAUGAAUGCCUUAUUAAGCAAAUCCUGCAAAUGCUCCUUCAAUUCUUUCAACUCAAUUGGGGUCAUACCAUAACGACCCGACCGGUUAUUUUGAGAUAGUAUUACUUGUACGUGUGAUUGGUUUCGAUUUUUGAGAAGUUCGGAGUUGAUUGGAAGGAUAAUUCUCAAUUCGAAAGCUUUAUGUUAGAAAAGUUGACCAAGGUUUGACUUUUAAGUAAACAACCUCAGAAUUGGAAUUUGAAGGUUCCUAUAGGUUCGUAAGGUGAUUUCAGACUUGGGCGUAUGUUCGGAUUGAGUAUUGGAUGGUACGGGAGAGAUUCAAAGCUUGUUAUUGGAAGUUCGCAUUUUUGAAAGUUUGAAAUUUGUUAAGUUUGAGUUAGAGUGUACUUUGAUGUUAUCAAACUCCGACGGUAUUCUGGGACCUUGGAUAGGUUCAUUUUAUUGAUUGGAACUUUUUUGUGAAGUUUGGUCGUUAUCCGAAAUGUCUAAGCAUGAUUCGGACGCGUUCGACGAAGUUUGAAUGUUUGGAAGUUAAGAGAAGGUUUUAGUUGUCGAUUCAUGAUCUUGAUGUUAUUCAUGGCGUUUUGAGACUUUGGAUAAGUUUGGGUAAGGUAUUAGGACUGGUUGGCUUGAUUGGACAGGGUCCCGAGGGCCUCAGGUGUGUUUCAGACCAAGUUUAGAUGAUAUUUUGUUGCUGGUGAUGGUUUCUGGUGUUGUUCUUCGCGAAUGCGGUGGAAUGCUCACAUUCACGAAGAAGGAUUUUAGCUGAUGGGGACUUGUGCUACACUUUAGAGAUGGAUGUCUCACGUUCACGAAGGUGUGGGGAAGAGGAGCAUCAUGUUCGCGAUAAGGGCAUCACGUUCGCUUAGGUGAAGAUAGACAUGAGACGUAGGCCUUCACAUUCGCGUGGGAGUGGCUGCGUUCGCGAAGGGCCAGCUUGGUAAGCAUCAUGUUUGCGAGCUUUGUCUCGCGAAGAAGAAUUUUGGAACUGGGAGGAUAAAAAGAAGGAUAAGGAAUGUAUUUAAGGAAAAGAAGCUACCAAAAAAGAACCUAGAGGCAUUCUGAUAGGCUAGCCUACCUAGGAUUCUGUAUAGGGUAAAAGGGAAAAUAGGGGAUCAGGGGAAAGCUGCUGAGAAUGUGCCGUUAGUUUUAAAUGAUUGGCUGAUAUACCCAUAUGGAAUAUUUCAAACUAAAUCCCUCAGGGGUAAAAGAGAAAGUUCAUGAGGGGUUUCUAGGAGAUGCUAACAACUUAUUAGCUUAGGAUACUUAGGAUUCUAGAAAGGUAUUCCGAGUGGAGGUUAGUUUGGAAAAUGAAAAAAUAAGAAAAUUCUAAGUUCCCUUAUAAAAUAACUCUUUCUCUUAUUUUUAUUGAGUUUGAGCAGCUGCACAUUAAGUUUUCCUCUCAAAUUAUUAAUUCCUCUAAGAAGCUGAGACAAUAAAUAAAAUUUUACAAAAAGGUUUUAAAUACCGGAGAGAUAAAAAGGUCAAGACUUUGUUUUGAGUUUUCUGCUAGAUUUUUGAGUGAUUAACUACUGUUUUUUCUGGGUCUUAAAAUGUUGAAAAUGGAUUAGGAUUUGUGGUUGUUGUUGUUGUUGUUAACUUUUGAUUGCUGAGCUCCAUCCUUAUUGAAUUUCUGGAUUGUUUCUGUAAGGCCCCAGAAAAUUUUGCUAAGGAAUUUAAGGUUUCGUGGUGCCGAGGUAGGCUCAUGUGUUUGAAAAUUGUAGAAAACGAGCCACGAUGUGACUUUAUUUGGUUAUGUAAUGCAUUGGAGAGUUAGAGAUAAAUUGUUGCAGAAAAUGGCCUUUCUGCAGUCCAUUUUGCGGACGUAGAAUCACUCCGCGCACCGCAUAUCCAUCGCGGAGUGAAGCGGAGAAUUGGCAAUUUUGAAGCACUAUUAUGCGAGCCGCGGAAUGAUUCUGCUGUCGCAAAAUUGAUUCUGCUAUCGCAGAAUGAUUUUGCUAUAUAGCAAAAUGGUCGCAAAAAAUUUUGCUACCACAUAAUCAAUUCCGCUGCCCACAAAAUGAUUCUUCUACCACAUAAUUGACUUCGGAUGUCAUUUUUGGAAAUUUUCAUAUCCGAUCCUAUUUUGAUAUAAGGCCUUGGGGGUCAUUUUAGAAGGUAAAACCUGAUUUUUUAGGGAGAGGUAAGAACAUUUUAGAGAAAGAAGGAAGAAACAUAACAUUCUAACCAUCCAAUCUUGCACCAAUCUUCAAGAAUCAAGGAAGCCAAUCACUAGAUUAUCAUCUACCGGGGUAAGUCCUACUCCUAAGCGUUCAUGCAAGAGGUUAUGAGUUCAAAUAUAUUGUGAGGUUGGAAAUAGGCUAUGCAUAUGACACUAGGUUGUAGUAUGUUGGGUUAAUGAACCAUUUUGGGUAGUUUCUUGUUGAAAUUUGUUGAGGGAGGAAGGGAUUACCAUUGUAGAGCCUUGUGGUCUAUUUUGCAUGCUAGGUAUUUGACAAAAUUCCUAAGAGAGUUAUACCAUGAGAAUCCUUCUAACUACUAACUGAUUUUUGCUAUCACCCUAUAGAUUGUUAUUGCUAGAGAGUUGAGGCGUUUUAGUAACUUAAGGAAAGCUCAAACAAGGUAUGUUGGCUAAACUUUUCUCUUAGAAUUGAAUCCCAUGGUGCUCAUGUAAAUUAUGUAUGACCCGAGUUGUUCAAUAUAAAAUUGGCUAUUCCGAAUAAGCUAGUGUUGAAAGAUAUAUGUUCAAUAUGUAUUUCGAAUAAGCAAAGUGACGAGAAUUAUGUAUUCAAAAUGUGUUAUGAAUAUUCCUAUCGUAUUAUGUUAUCUUUUUGGAAUGUGUUCAAUAAUGAUAUGUGUAUUAAAAUGCUAUGUCUUUGAGUCGUAUUUCAAAUGAAGGUUAUGAUGCCAAAUUGUGUAAAAAAAUCUUAAUAUGCUUAAGACUCUUAAUUGCUCAUAUGUGUACCUAAAGUCUUGAUUGGAAAUAUCUUAUUGUUGAUAAAAUAUAAAGAUGUUUGGAAGUUAAAUAAGUGAAUUGGGAAUAUAAAGUGUGGCCAAUGUGCCAAGAAAGAAACUUAUACUUGUGGCCAACGGUGCCGAUGAAAUGAAAUGAACGAUGUGAGAAACAUUGUGAAAUGAGCCUUGAUUCAAGUGUAUUAAAAUGACUUCAAAAAUAGAUCUACCUAAAAGCUUAUGUACUCAAGUCAUGCCCAAAUGUGGUUGUUUUAACAAAUGCUUUCCUUUAUAAAUAUUUCCAGUGUGAUUCGAGUUCUUACUUACUCAGGUGUUGAAAUUGUGCAUUUCUAUUUUUGGGAAAGAGUAUUUCAAGAAUUAAUGGUGUAUUGCUUGCUUAUGAUUUUGAUGUAUGGUUCUAUUGCUGGUCGGUGUGCCCCAUUCUUUGGGAAUAAACCUUUUGUGUUUAAAGUUUCCAUUACUAAUGAAUUUGAGAUUUAUGAUUUCCGAAAUAUUCUAUAUGUUUACGUUUGAUGGUGAUCCUUGGAAAUAAAAUAAAUAAAAGUGUGGAAUAUGAAAUACGACCAUUGUUCCAUGAAAGAAGAACCAUAUGUAUGGCAAAGAGAGCCAAUGAAAUGAUGAUGUUAUGGGUAGCUGAAAGUACCAAUGAAGCUAUGUAUGGUAUGAAAGGUUAUGAGGUAAAUAAAAUCUGUAUUUAUGUUUCCUUUGUAUCCAAAUCAAAAGAAUAUUUUUCCCCUUAUUUGGGAUGAGAUUGAUGUGAUAAAAUUAUUCCUCUUAAUUGGGAUGAUAUGAUUGAUAGAAAAUGGUGAUGUCGAUCAACUAGGCAUUGUGGUGAGGCGGCCUAACUGAUCGGGUCGUGAUCGGUCGCCAUGCGGCACACAUGGUGGUGAUUAUUCUGAAAAUUAUAAUUGAAAUUGUGAUUGUAGUUGAUGUUUUCAAAUAAAAUGUCCUAACCGAUUGGGUCAUGAUCGGACUCCGUGCUAGAUUCACGGUGGUAUAUUUACAUAGAGAUUGUGAUUGUGAUUAUGCUUGAGAUUGUGAUUGUGGUUGAUAUCUUCAAAUAAGACGUCCUAGCUGAUCGGGUCAUGACCGGACUCCGUGCUAAAUUCACGGUGGUAUAUUGGUGCUAAAAAUCUCCCAACCAAAAAUAAUAUUAUCUUCAUAUUUCGAUUAUCAUCUUUACCGUCUUAUUUUCAUAUUUUGAAAUUUUUUAUGUCUUCACUUGAUCUUUGGAUAUCAUUGAUUGUUGCUUGUUGUUUACAUGUUUAUCCCUUUCUUAUAUUGGCAUUCUAUUUUGAAAGAGGACAUUUAGUCAUACAUACUAGUGCUAUUCGACGGUACUAACGUCCCUUUUGCCGAUGACACUAUAUCUUUAAUGGAUGCAGGUGGUUCUACAGCAGGUGGCAUUGAUUAAUGAUAGUGAUACACUCUCUUCCCAACUAACUUGGUGAGACCCAAUUCAAUUCGAGGUCAUGUAUUUUUUUGUUCCUCGUGUAUUGUGUUUGAGGUAUAGCCGAGGCCUUGUUGUCAGCAUUCCCAUAUUACUCUUCUGUUGCACUUAGAGGCUCCGCAGACAGGUUAUAGGUGGUGUUUGAUGUUGGGAGUCAAAACUAGAAAUGUUGGUAUUUGGCAAACAUGUUUUUCAUUAUAUCUAUAAACUUGUAAUAUUUUGGAAAUUAUGAAUAAAACUGCUAAUGGAAAUGAAAUGGAGUUGUUAAUGAAAUCUUUUCAAUGUCUGAUUUAGGAAGUAUAUAUCCUCUUUAUUCAUGGAUGAGUUUGGGUAGAAGUAAAUCUAACAGGCUUGCUCGGCCAGGUUCACUCAGCGCCGGUCACGCUCCCUGUGUUUGGGGCGUGACGAACUUGGUAUCAAAGCCUAUGGUUUUAAAGUGUCCUAGGAUGUCUCGGAGCUGUGUCUAGUAUAGUCCUUCUUAUCAGUGUGUUGUCGACCACAUCUAUAAUGAGGAGGCUACUCGGACAUUUAGGAAUGUCAGCCUUCUUUGAUACUCCAGAUCAUGCGAUAAAGCUCAAAAUAUGGAGCUAAUUUCCUCGUUAUGUCUUAUUUUCAAGAUGAGUAAUUUAAAUGUUUGAAGCAGUAAAGAAUGAAUGACCCCACCAUUGAAUAUGAGGGAGAUUGCACAAGAGUUUGUUAGGAGAAUGUAUCGAUCCAGGAGGGAUUGGAUGAACUUAUUUCCAAGGGAAGCGUCCUUGUUCCUACUAAUGUCACCGCGCCAUCGAAUUGUGUGGUAAAAACACCUAAGAAAUGAAAGAGGGUUGUUGGUACUAAUGAUCUGGAUUGUUUGAUUUGUAAGAAGUGUCACUUGGGGACGUGUUAGAUGACUAUUGAAAUAUGUUAUAGUUGUGGAAAGAGGGGGUACAAGAAGAACAAAUGCCCUAGGUUAGGUAUACCCGUCCUGGUCUGCCCGAUAUGCGGGGAGGCACAUUUUGCGUCAUGUUGUGAGUAUGCUCGGUAGCGUGUUAGGGUUGGUAGGGUUAGGAAAUUCCAAAGUCCCAUAGAGAAAACUGGUAAGAGAUUGUCACUCCCGCCAUGAAAGCUUGGAGGAAGAAUAAGGUGAAUGUUUAUGAUGUAUGCAAAAAAUGGUAAAUACCAAGUCAGUGAGGUGAGUCAGUUUAACGGACCUCAUCCCCUUUGCGUGAAGUGUAGUAGAUGUCAUUCGGGGGUAUAUCACUAUGGUACCAAUAUACGUUAUGGAUGUGGAGUCGAGGGGCAUCGAUUAAGUUAUUGCCCUGUCAACCAAAGAUCACCAAGUAAGUCACUCCUUGCUAUAUCAUUAUGAAUACCGCAUAAGUUUUCCUUGUUGUACAUGUACAUCCAUAUUGAGGAGCCUUCAUAAACAUGGCCUUAACAAGAUGAUGAAUCACAAAACAUUGCAUGUACCUACUCUUUGAAUGAGACGCAUUAUUCAUGAAGCCAAUUUAUCACAAAUUCUCUUAUUUACAACCUCUCGUGGAAUUGAGCUCUAUAAUUAUUUCCUUGAAUUGAGUUAUAACCCUAGGCUAAUAUUUCCCACUUGCUUCCCUAAAUUCUCAACAAGGGACUAUACCUGAUGAAUUUCUCACAGAAUCUUUUGAUUUUAAUGGAUAACAUCAGCUCACUUGUACUUAUGUAUGCACCGUAAAAAAGUUUGACUAUAUGGUAUCGAAUCCAAUAUAUAGUAGCCUAGUGUUGAGAUCCUUCUUGAGCUACUCUUUUACUCUCGUGUGUAUGUGGCACCUAUAAUAUGAACAAUCACUUUACUUUUUUGCCAAUAUUAUCAUGAAUUAUUUUCACUCUCUAUUAACAUGAGAGCAUAUCUCAACACCUAUCAUAUGUGUACCUAUCAAUUGAAAGGGGUCAAUCGUUCGCAUAAAGUUUCUGGGAAAUUUGAGAUUUUCACAAAUUCGUCACAGAAAGAUCUUUUUGUUUGCCCAUCUUAGUAUGACUUUCAUGUCCACUUAGAUUAUUUCACAGUAAGUAGCUCACUUUGUUCCUAGUAUUAUAAGUGCCCAUGAAGUGGCAUGGUAUUGCAGCUUGAGAGUUAAUAUGGUAGAAACAUGUCUACCUCAUAGCGAAGUGUUCAUUCUCUCUAACCAAUCCAUGUUUCACCCCCAGUGUUAAGAUGUCCUAGCUAUGCGGUUUCCCUUGUGAAAGGUUGAAAUUAGAUGUUUAAGAUUCUAGCACAUAUCAUGAGCAUAUUGAUUUGAAAGACAAGUUUGUUGUAUCUCUAGUCCUCUCAUAUAGGGUCAACUAUUACGAAGAGUUAAGCUGUCAAAAUGAUAAUAAUCUCACAAGUGUUCAACUUCUUUUUCAACCUCGUGGGCUUGUGGCAUAGAUUCCUUGUGCUAGUUAUUGUUAAGAGCAUAAUGCAACUUCAUAUAUUUUGAAACCCAUAUCACAUUAAGGGUGCCAGAAUAUUCUCAUUUUGAGUUAAAAUUGAUUUUUCCCUACAGUCUAGGAGGCAACUGAUGUCGCGUACUUGGCUAUUUCUCCUUUAGGCUUACUAUUGCAGAACAAGGCACAUAUGGAAUGAAACGAUUGUUACUUUCCUUUUUCAUAGCUCAUAGUCUUCUAAGAAUAACUGAUGCUAAUGUCUUUAUCCUCCCGAUUAUGCCUCCCAUAUGUCACACGUCUAAAACGACUCAUUUCUUUUACAUCUUAAGAACAUGUACAUGGUUCUCACAUUAUCAAUGCCUACUAGGAAACUCUAUGCCUCAUUUGUUGAAUCAAUCAUGUCAUCACUACGAUGAAUCAUGUUUGCGCUAUCGGUAGUAAACUUCAUGUCUCUUAGGAUUUAUAACCUCAUGAAAUACUUUGCUCAUCACAUUGAUGGAUUCUUAAGUAAUUUCAGCCCAAUCUCGAACCUUGUUGUUCCUCCUUGUAUUAAAUCUAUGGGGGAUUAAGGUUCAAACAUGUUAAAGAAUAAGCAUAAUCCCAUGAUCAAAUAUAUUGGAUAGGAAAUUUUAUGGUCAUAUUCAUGAUAGUACAUCUUAAAGUAAUUGUUGAAGGUCGCCAAAGAUUUAGUUUGGGUAUUCGCAUAGAGAUUUAGAGUUGAAGAGGGUGAACAAGUUAUUCUCAAUAUUUUCUCCCUGAAGAUGUUAUGUGAAUUUCUAAUAAAAGUAAAGUAUGUGUAGUCACAUUAGGCCUUAUGGAAAUCUUGAGGGAAAUAGGCCGAACUAUGAGUAUGACAUUUUCCCAUCGUUGUUCUCCAUGUACCCGGUGUUUCAUGUGUCUAUAUCUAAGAAGGUAGUUGAAAAUUCUUUGUGUAUUAUUCCGGUGGAAACUACUGAAUAUGAAAUUAAUGGGUAAUUGGCUUAUGAGAGUUACCUAAUUGUAAUCCUUAAUUAAACACGUCUGAAAGUUGAGGAAUAAAGAGAUUUCCUCUGCCAAGUGUUAUGUCGAAGUCUAUGAGUCGAGAAGGUCACCUUGAUGGACGAAAGUAGUGUGGAAAUAAAAAAAAUUGCUUGAUUAUAUAGCAAAUGGUUGUGAUUUGAAAGGCACUUUCUAUGUGUAAUGAUUUAAAAAUGUGUAGUUAUAUCAAGAUAUUAUUUUGAUAAUCCAGUGCAUGUAAUGCUGAGAUUAGUGUUGUUGAUAUAUAUAUUGUGAUGCCUUGUCGAGUUUGUGGAUGUGUUGUUAGGGUGGUUUUAGUGAUUCUAUGACAGGUGGAUAGGCCCGAAUACAGAGGAAACACUAUCGAAAUUUCUGAAAAAUUUGGGAAUUAGUCAAAAUUUGGGGACUUGAGGUAUGUGAGAAAAGAGAUGAAUUAUGCUAAGUGUUUGAGGCAGACUCUACUUCUCAUUUGAGGAUGAAUGAUCCUAAGUGGGGGAGAAUGUAAGGCCCCAGAAAAUUUUGGUAAGGAAUUUAAGGUUUCGUGGUGUCGAGGUAGGCUCAUGGGUUUGAAAAUUAUAGAAAAACGGGCCACGAUGCGAACUUUUCUUUGGUUGUGCAAUGCAUUGGAGAGUUAGAGGUAAAUUGUUGCAGAAAAUGGCCUUUUCGCGGUCCAUUUUGUGAUCGCAAAAUCACUCCGCGGGCCGCAUAUCCGUCGCGGAGUGAAGCAGAGAAUUGCCAAUUUUGUAACACCAUUAUGCGGGAUGUGGAAUGAUUCUGCUAUCGCAAAAUUGGUCAUAGAAUGUUUCUGCUAUAGCAAAAUGGUCGUAGAAAAAUUCUGCUACCGCAUGAUCGAUUCUGCUGCCCACAAAACGAUUCUACUACCACAUAAUUGCACCACAUAGUUGACUUCGGGGGUCAUUUUUGGAAAUUUUCAUAUCCGAUCCUAUUUUGAUAUAAGUCCUUGGGGGGUCAUUUUAGAAGGUAAAAUCUGAUUUUUUAGAGAGAGGUAAGAAUAUUUUAGAGAGAGAAAGAAGAAACCUAACAUUCUAAUCAUCCAAUCUUGUACCAAUCUUCAAGAAUCAAGGAAGCCAAUCACUAGAUUAUCAUCUACCGGGGUAAGUCCUACUCCUAAGCGUUCAUGCAAGAGGUUAUGAGUACACGUAUAUUGGGGGGUUGGAAAUAGGCUAUGCAUGUGAUACUAGGUUGUAGUAUGUUGGGUUAAUGAAUCAUUUUGGGUAGUUUCUUGUUGAAAUUUGUUGAGAGAGGAAGGGAUUACCAUUGUACAGCCUUGUGGUCUAUUUUGCAUGCUAGGUGUUUGACAAAAUUCCUAAGAGAGUUACACCAUGGGAAUCCUUCUAAUUAUUAACUGAUUUUCGCUAUCACCCUAUAGAUUGUUAUUGUUAGAGAGUUGGGGCAUUUUAGUAACUUAAGGAAAGCUCAAACAAGGUAUGUUGGCUAAACUUCCCUCUUAGAACUGAAUCCCACGGUGCUCAUUUAAUUUAUGUGUGACUCGAGUUGUUCAAUAUAAAAUUGGCUGUUCCGAAUAAGCUAGUGUUGAAAGAUAUAUGUUCAAUAUGUAUUCCGAAUAAGCAAAGUGACGAGAAUUAUGUAUUCAAAACGUGUUAUGAAUAUACCUAUCGUAUUAUGUUAUCUUUUGUGAAUGUAUUCAAGAAUGAUAUGUGUAUUAAAAUGCUAUGUCUUUGAGUCAUGUUUCAAAUGAAGGUUAUGAUCACAAAUUGUGUGAAAAAAACUUAAUAUGCUUAAGACUCUUAAUUGUUCAUAUGUGUACUUAAAGUCUUGAUUGGGAAUGUGUUAUUGUUGAUAAAAUAUAAAGAUGUUUGAAAGUGAAAUAAGUGAAUUGGGAAUAUAAAGUGUGGCCAACGUGCCAAGAAAGAAAGUUAUACUUGUGGCCAACGGUGCCGAUGAAAUGAAAUGAACAAUGUCAGAAAGGUUAUGAAAUGAGCCUUGAUUCAAGUGUUUUAAAAUGACUUUAAAAAUAGAUCUACCUAAAAGCUUAUGUACUCAAGUUAUGCCCAAAUGUGGUUGUUUUAACUAAUGCUUUGCUUUAUAAAUAUUUCCAAUGUGAUUCGAGUUCUUACUUACUCAGGUAUUGAAAUUGUGCAUUUCUAUUUUUGGGAAAGAGUAUUUCAAGAAUUAAUGGUGUAUUGCUUGCUUAUGAUUUUGAUGUGUGGUUCUAUUGUUGGUCGGUGUGUCCCACUUUUUGAGAAGAAACCUUUCGUGUUUAAAGUUUCAAUUACUAAUGAAUUUGAGGUUUAUAAUUUUCGAAAUAUUCUAUAUGUUGACGUUUGAUGGUGAUCCUUGAAAAUAAAAAAAAUAGAAGUAUGGAAUAUGAAAUACGGUCAUUGUGCCAUAAAAGAAGAAUCACAUGCAUGGCCAAGAGAGCAAAUUAAAUAAUAAUGUUGUGGAUAGCUGAAAGUACCAAUGAAGCUAUAUACGGUAUGAAAGGUUAUGAGGUAAAUGAAAUCUGUAUUUAUGUUUCCUUUGUAUCCAAAUCAGAAAAAUAUUUUCCCCUUAUUUGGGAUGAGAUUGAUGUGAUAAAAUGAUUCCCCUUAAUUGGGAUGAGAUGACUGAUAGAAAAGGAUGAUGUUGAUCCACAUGGCAAUGUGGUGUGGCGGCCUAGCCGAUCGGGUCGUGAUCGAUCGUCAUACCGCACACAUGGUGGUGAUUGUUCUGGAAAUUGUAAUUAAAACUGUGAUUAUGGUUGAUGUCUUAAAAUAAGAUGGCCUAGCCGAUCGGGUCAUGAUCGAACUCCAUGUUAGAUUUACGGUAGUAUAUUUGCACAGAGAUUGUGAUUGUGGUUGAUGUCUUCAAAUAAGACAGCCUAGCCGAUCAAGUCGUGAUCGGACUCCGUGCUAAAUUCAUAGUGGUAUAUUGGGGCUAAAAAUCUCCCAACCAAAAAUGAUAUUAUCUUCAUAUUUCUAUUAUCAUCUUCACAGUCUUAUUGUCGUAUUUCGAAAAUUGUUAUGUUUUAACUUGACCUUUGGAUAUCAUUGAUUGUUGCUUGUUAUUUACAUGUAUAUCCCUUUCUUAUAUUGACAUUAUAUUUUGAAAGAAGACAUUUAUUCAUACAUACUAGUGCUAUUCGACGGUACUAACGUCCCUUUUGCCUGGAGGCACUGUAUCUUUAAUGGCUGCAGGUGGUUCCACAACAUGCGGCAUUGAUCAAUGAUAGUGGUACACUCUCUUCCCAGCGAACUUGGUGAACCCCACUUCAUUUUGGGGUCAUAUAUAUUUUUGUUUCUCAUGUAUUGUGUUUGAGGUAUAGCCGGGGCCUUGUUGUCAGCAUUUCCAUAUUACUCUUCUGUUGCACUUAGAGGCUCCGCAGACAUGUUGUGGGUGGUGUUUGAUGUUGGGAGUCAAAACUAGAAAUGUUGGUAUUUGGCAAACAUGUUUUUUAUUAUAUCUAUAAACUUGUAAUAUUUUGAAAAUUAUGAAUGAAGCUGCUAGUGGAAAUCAAAUGGAGUUGUUAAUGAAAUCUUUUCAAUGUCUGAUUUAGGGAGUACAUCUCCUCUUUAUUCAUGGAUGAGUUUGGGUAGAAGAAAAUCUAACAGGCUUGCUCGGCCAGAUUCACUCGGUUGAGCGCCGGUCGCGCUCCUCGUGUUUGGGGCGUGACAGUUUCUUUGUUAUUUUCUUCUUACAACGUACUCUUUUCACCUAAAGAAUGUAAAAAUUCAGCUUGUUUCAUGAAUGAAAAUGCAUAACUUGCUAGAAAUAUGUUGUUUGAUGCUAGAUUUAAGUUUGUGUAGAAUUAAUGAAUAAAUACAUGAGAUUUGAAUAUGAAUCACUAUUAUUUGAUCUCCUAAACUUAGAGUUUGAAUAAUGUUUAAUGAUGUGAGCAUGUUAAUUGUUUGGUUUACUGGACUCUUGAAUUAAUAGUUUUCAUAUUUAACUACUUGCUUGUAAAACUUAUUAGUUUAACAUCAGAAUAAUAGCUUCCGUUCUAGUAAUCUCAAGAUAUUCGAAGAUCAGUAUGCAUGAAGCUUGAAGAAUUUCUAAAGGGGGACUUAGAUUGAUAGGUGGUUAUGAUUGUAAAACAUAGAAGUGGCUCUAAUGUAAAAAGUCGGCUCUACAAAUGUAGAGUUCAAUGUGAGGUACUAUUUCUGCAAAACUAAGUUGGAAGUGAUUUAAAUCAGUUGCCAUAUAUGUGUUGAUACCCAAUUUUUCCUAUAUAUUUUCAAUAUGCAAAAUAACUUCAAAAAGGCAUAUAUAUGCAUAUGUAAGCAUAUCCAAGUGUUUUAUUAUUUUUCCAUAAUUUUUAAAGGUUUUUAAAUCAAUUUAUUUUCCUUUUUCAUCCAUAAAAUCCCAAUAAUUAUGUCCAAAAUUAUUAUUUUCAAUGAUUCAUUUAUUGAAUCUUUAUAUUUAUGCCAAAAUAAGGCUAAGGUAAUUUUUACAAUCUUAUUUAGUAUUUUAUAAAGCUAAUUUCAUAUAAUUACAAUAUUAGCCCUUUUAAGAUUUAAUUGUGUUUUUAUUCAUAAAAAUUAAGCCCUGAAUUUUUAAAUUGUUAAUUGUAUAUUAUAAAUCAUUUUAGUGCUUUCAAUUUAUUUCCAAAAUUUAUUUACUAUUUUUUAUAAAUUUCAAAGAGGAAAAUUGGCUAUUUAAAUAAUAGCCCAAUUGCAUUUAUAUUGUAGCCUAAAUCUGACCCCAGAUCAGACCCAAUUUCCCCAGCCCAAUUUCAUUUAAACCCGACCCUAACCCAGUUUAACCGGCCCAACCCGGAUCCUCUACCUACCCUCUAUAAUCCAGGCCGUUGAUCCUUCAGAUCAACGACCAGCAUUUACCCUUACCAUUUUUAACCCUGAACGACCCCUAAACCUAAUUCAUUUUCCACCACCCACCGCCUCUGAAUCCCUUCCCUCUCAAUUCUCUCUGCAACCCCACAUGAACCAUAGCCGCCGCCAUCUAAUUUCACCUUAAUCCGCCUAAACCCCUGCCUAAUCCAUGGCCUCUCAUGGCCAUUUGAGAUGUGUAUCGGCUUCCUAUGGUUCCUUUUUUUGUUUUCACCAAUAAGUUUUUUAUUAAUAAAAAAGAAAAGAAAAUACAACAAAUAGGAAAAGUAUAAAUAAGGGGGACAAUAGCACCGAUAUUAUUGCCCAUAUGCCUUGGCUAUAUAAUCACUCCUCUGCGCCUCACAUUGCCUUUUGAUGACAACCUCAUGUAGAGGAUUCAUGGUGUAGCUGUUGGCAACGUCUCACGAGGGCAUAUAAUCUCAUAGUCGUGUGGAUAUUUUUCCAAAGGCAUAGGACCAAGGCAACACAAACCGGGCUAAACCUUACCUUACUAAUCCUAUUGAGGCAAAGAAAAAGCCUCAUCUUCUAGCAAGCAUGUAAGAAAUAGGAACUUGAAAGUACCAAGUACUCAAUGAUCGCCAUAGAUUUUAUAACACAAUCUGUGACGCUAUUACAAGUGAUGAUGCUUUGAAAAUGAUAAACUAAAACAAUGUAGAAAUUAGAGUCUUGCCCCUCAUUUCUCAAACUUGUGAGUUCUUCAAUUUGAACUUCCUUAAAUUCCUCUUUAACUAUCUUCAAAUAAUCUUCAAAAUUCUUCAUUUCUUCGCGGAUCUAUUGGACCUCGUAGAUAUGGAGGUGGCAACCCCUUUUUGUUUUGCAGCUCUCAUUGGGAGUUGCCUGAGCAUUAUUUUAUUUGAGUAUGCACAUCUAUGAGGUUUUGGACUGCCCAAAGCAUCCAAUAGAUCCCGGUCAUGGUUUGAAAUCAAAGCAUGGUUUGAAAACUCAGCUGAACGUUUAACAUUGUCCAGUUCUACUGCUGCAUCACCUGAAGUGUUUUUGCUUUUGUAGUGGACUUCCUAGAGUAUGCUUCUGCUGUCCAGCCAUGAAACUUAUAGGAAAAUCUAGCUGUUGUCCUGUAUUUGGAAGAGCAUGAUUGUGUUGUUGUGCAGUAGAUUUACCCGCUUCAGUGAUAGUUUCUGUACUGUUUAAACUAUGUUGUUGCUGCCCAGAUUUUAGUCUUAUUGUAUUUUGCAUCAUAGUACCACUUAAAAUGGAAGUGCUGCAAUUUUUUGGUACUGGUGGCGAGCUGCAUUGUGUUGAUAUUGGUGAUGAGCCAACUAAACGCAGUUCAUCAUCUUGACUAUCUUGAACAUCAGUUAAUAACAAGAGAUUUCCAGAUUCACCUUCAACUUCACCACACGACCCCUCUGAUAACACUUCUUCUGUUCUGCCUGCUUUAUUUGUGCUAACCAAUAGAUGAUCAUGCUCAUUAGUAGUUGCAGGUCGUUGACUUCUAGUUUCUAGAUUUGCAAAAGUUUGCAAUGGAACAGUAGGUUCCCCUGUUUUUCCUGUAGCAUUCAAUUUUUUCACAAUAGCAGUUCCGUCCUUUUGUUGCUCCUCAUCAAGCUUAUUAACAGUCACCUUGUUCCCAGGUAGUGCAACAUCUGUUGCUUUACUCAAUGCAUUGGUAAUUAUUGCCAAAGCUUUUGUAGCAUGAAUAUCUGCUGGAGCAUUGUGUUUUUUUAACAGCAGGAGCUACCUCAGCUUUAUUUGACAAAACUUGCCCAAAUGCAGAAUUGCUUGGCAAGUUUGUCAGUUGUGUAGCUCAACCUCCAGUUGCAUUGUGUUCAAAAUUAUUAUCCAGCCUUGACACAGUAGAAGCUCGUACAACUUCAGCUAUUCCACUGCCUUCCACCCUAUCUUGAAGGUUGCCAGUUGCACUACUUUCUCGAGCAGCAGCAUGAUUUUUAGCCUUCCUAAAAUCAUCUACUGUUUUCAAUGCAGGAACAAUAGUAACCGCAUUGCUGCAAAUUUGUGCACCAUCACGAUCUACAGGAACAAUAGUAACUGCAUUGCUGCAAAUCUGUGCACCAUCACGUCUAUUAGCGUCAGCUAAAAUUGUUUUUGGUCCAGCUGUUGUUGCUGCCUCGAUUUCACCUAGUAAACUCAAUACCUGUUGCUGCUCACUUUUUCUGUUAUCUUCAGAAUUUAACACCAUUAUUUGGCCAACUCUUUUUGCAUUGAGAUAAUCCCUAGCAUCACCUUGUAGUUUUUCAAUAACUGGACCAUUUGCCUCGACCAAACCAUGACCACCUUGAAGCUUAACCCCUGUUACUUCCUCUGUCACCACCUUCUUUUCUGCUUGUUCUUUCAUUACUCGACAUACCUUUUUGUCAUGUCCUUGAUGUUUGCAACAAGUGCAAUAUUUAGGAAGAUUGUCAUACACUAUUUCUUGAUAAUGUACGACAUAUUUACCAGUAACUCUAUCCACAAUCUGAAGCUUAACCUUUUUGGGGUGUUUGUCUAGCAAAUCGAUUACAACUUUAACUCUUGCCGCACUAGGUCUAGUCCUUUGUUGUGUCGCCUUGUCCACAGCAAGAGCUUUUCCAACAGCUGACGCUAUAGACAUUAACGACCUCUUUGCAAAGAAAUUAGGUAGCACACCUGGUAACGAGAUCCAGACGACUGCCAUAGAAGUCUCCUCCUUUGGAUUGAAUCCUAGUGUCCAUGGGAAUGUUCUGAAGAAGUACUCGUCGCCUUUGGAUUUAAGAUAUCCAGUCGACCUCGAGAGGAACUGAACAUAAUCAUUGAAUAAAUCAAACCUGACCAACAAGUGACGAAAUUCCAACUGCCCAACGUUACAGUGACCUUGGAUGUCAAAUUGCGUUGAAAUAAUUCUUCGAACCUCCUGUAGAUCUGGUUUUCCGUAUGAAAAUUUAAUCACAACUGCUUGAUGCAGUCCUUCCUCCCUAAUGAAGUCAUUAACAUCCUCCACUGUGAAUUCUAUGACUGGUUCUCCAUGGUCGAGUUUUACUGGAAACAACUCGAUUUUUGAUGACACUAAGGCGGACUGUUUUGGUUGAAGUUGAGAUGCAUAGGUUUGUUUUGUAUUAUGAUUUGGGAUUGUUUCUGUAUGGAUUUGUGUUACCUCUCUCACAUCCAAAGGCUGGGGAGAGAUAGGCGCAGCCAUGGCUGCCUUUACAAAUCCAUGAAUGAACAAGUUUUGCCCAGUUUUGUCUGAUAAACAGUACGGUUCUUGACUACUACAGUGACGCGAUAGUAGAGAGAAACUGGAGCGUUUUGCUACAGUGAAACCCUUUAGGCAUACCUGCCUUUUACCUUUAAACCUUAUAAACCAUCCUCCUAUGGUUCCUGGGUAUUUGUUUCUAUGGUUUCAUGGCCAGACCUCGAAGGAAUCUGGUCCAGUCCUUGCUCGACUUCUGUUCAUGGCCUUUCAAAGCAGAUCCUUGACUUUCCUGCUUAGAUCGGUAACUUUCAAGGUCUUUCUCACCUUUUCUAGGUUUUCCGAUACCCUAAUCUUUAAGAUCUUUCAAUUUUCUUCAGAUCUAUCUUAGAUCUGUGUUUACUACGAACUUCUUAAGUGUUUUCUUGAUGGUUCUUCAACUUUUCUUUCAAAAUGCCUCUUCAUUUUUCGACGAUUAGGGUUUUCCUUUAAGUUUUUCAAAAGAUCUCUUCUCUGAUUUUAAUGUUGUUUGUGAUUUUUCUAUGUUUAAAAUGAUUUGCUCAUAUUAUUCUUCUAUCUAUUUCAGCAUGUUAAAAACCCUAGUUCCUUUUUUUGGUCUUAUCCGAGUUCUGAAACUGUUUGUUUAAAGGUGUACCUGUUCGAUUAAAUUCUUUGUUUCUGACUCUCUUUUCCUUGUUUGACUCAUCUGAUUUUGACUUCUUAUCAUCUCUUAAAUUCAGCUACUGUUGAAGCCCUAACUUCUUAAAAGUUUUGCCUCACUUGUUACUGUGAGACCUUUACUUGUUUCAGACUCUAUUUACCUGUUACUAUGUUCUUCUUCACUGUUGAUUCUAUGUGACUACUUGACUACUGUGCUUCGAAUAUUUUCUUGCUACUGAACCCUAGCUUGCCCCUACUUCUACUAUAAGUUUGUGUUGCAUCUUUUGUCAACGUGUUUAACUCUGCAUGCUUGUUCAUCUCUUGCCAUUUAUAUGGUGAAGUGCAGAAUCAUGUUCCUUUCUUGAUUGCUCUUGAUUCCCUCGAUCUUCCAACUAAUUGUAAAAGGUUUUCUUACAAGCCCUAAUUUUUACUCAUCUGUUUAAAAUUAAUUGAUUCCUUUCCUUUACUAUGAUGUUUUACCUUGCUGAAUCCCUUCCCAAAACUAAGCACUUUGUACUUAGACUUGAUUAUUUACUUCAUGCUUUUAUUGCCCCCUUAUAUGGCAAUAAUCAAUCUGUCCCCAAACUGAUUUCUUCCUUAAUUAAACAUGUUACUACCCGUUAAACAUUGAUUCCUUAAUUAAAGGGAAUCACUUGUGUUAAUUGAUUCUGAUUGUGAUUAUUUCCAUGUUUGUGUUUAUGACUUUAUCUCUUCUUCACUCGUUUUCAAAACUAUAAAUACCCACCCCCUCUUCUUUCAAAGACACGAACAAUUUGAGUUCAAGAACACACACUUACACUCAAAACUUUCUCUGUUUUCUCUACUACUACUUGUGCUACUGCUUUGUCUAGCCGGCUGAAAGCCAAGGCUAGACUGUGGAAUUUUGCUUGCUUUUUGCACUUUGCUUCUCUACUGGUAUGUCCUAGUUAAUUUUCAAGCAUCAACAACAACAUCUUUCUUUAAUUUUUCCAACUUCUGUCAUUCUUGUCUACUUCUGCUUAUGUUUCUACAGUCAAGUUACAUUACUAGCAUACUGAAAUAUGUUCCCUUCCUCUUUUAAAUUAAUGCUCUCCUAUGUGUAUGAAUCCCAAACCCCAUAUCCUCUCUAUGUGUUUGUGUUCCUUUGGUUGGUUUGUGGCCAUGCCAGCAUCAACUAUUGUUGUGCAUAACUAAACCAGACCCCUGCUGGGUCAUGUGCUUACAAACAAUGUAUUCCCAAAACCCCUUGACCCCUUUUAUGACUAUUAAUUCUAUGUUUUGCUCCUUACCCCAACUGAUUUUAAACACUUCUGCUACUGAUUACCUUCAAAAAUGGACUUUCCAGUCCAGUUUCAAACAAACUCUUUUUUUAAACUGUAUGUUUUGCACUUCCACUAUAUUCAUAGAACCUAAGUUCUGCCCCUCUUGUGUGAGCCUUGCCUUGGGACCCUUGAGCUCCCUCUGAACUUGGGCACAUAAGGGAUGUCCCUUCCACAUUGCACUCAUUUCUGUCUGGUUAUGCAAACCUGGGGGUAAACACUGCCCGGGGUCCCUUGAGGCCCUUAGGGAACUUUCACACACCCAGGUCUGAGAAAGGCUUUGAAACAACAUUGACAUUUGAGGUAGUUUAUUCCAUAACUCAGAGAGGAAGUCAAGAAUCGGGCUUACUAUGGUUGUAACUUUUUAUUUUUGCACUUUUCUGAUGUAAUUCAGUCAUUUUUGGUCUGUAAUAAUUUGUAACAAAUAUUGGGGUUGGCUAGUGAAAGGGAUGGGGUGAUUAUGCAUGCUUUAGCUAUUAGAAGGGUAGAUAUCUGUUUAAUAAAUUCUGUAUGUUUUACUUGCAUACUUAGAUACCGUGCCUAUAAGUUCUGAAUGGCUAUAAUAGACAUCAUGCCUACAAGGUUGAAAUCAGCUUUGAAAUUAGAUGUCAUGCAUAUGAGAUCCAAAUCAUUUUUUUUAUAGAAAGCAUGCCUAUAGAAAUUUCACUGUGAUCAAAUGAAUCCUGCUUGCUUCACUUCAUGUUCAAUUAGAUACCAUGCCUAUAGGAAUUUCGCUGUGAUCAAAUAAAUCCUGCUUGCUUCACUUCAUAUUCAAUUAGAUACCAUGCCUAUAACACCAAAAUCAGUCUUUAAUACUUAGAUACCAUGUCUGUAGGAAUUAAAAUCAGCUAUAAUAGAGAUCAUGUCUAUAGGAUGUAAAACCAGUUUAGUUAAAAAUCGGUUUGACUCGUAUAGUUCUGAAUCAGUUUAAAUAACUUGCUCUUUUAAAUUAAUACGGUUAGAAAGCAUGCCUAUAGGAUCCAAAUCGCUCGCUUCGAAUUGUUUUCUGUUUUACUACAUUCCUAAUUAGUAAUAGACAUCAUGCUCAUUAUUGCUCCUAGGCAAGCCUUAGGUAAUAAUGAUAAAACUGAACUCGCCUGUGUUUAAUUAGCACUGCUACAACCAGCAGACAGGCAUGAUUCGGACUUCUUAUCUGAGUUAUGUAAUAAAUUGGUUUGCUUCAACAAUUAAAACACCCUGCCUUAGUACUUUAAAUUCUGACCCUAAAUGUGUUUAAGUCAUGCUAUUUAUAUGCAUUGUCUGCGGAGGUAUAUAUGAGCCUCUUAAUUGUUUAUGUCUUUCCCCUUUAAAUGCAGUUCUACAUGUUUUUGUUUGUCGUCUUAGCCUUUUACCUUUAAAACCUAAGAGUUAGUCUAAAGUCCUCCCUCUUAUAGGAAUAGUAGUCCUAAAUUCCUCCGGGAUGGAUAGGAAUGGUACGGGUAAUAGCAUGCAGUAGAGGUCGAGACCAAUCCGCGCUUUAAUACCUUAGCGGGGUGGGAAGGGUAGAUAUGGAUAUGAUGACCGGUGCGCUAAUACCACGUGUAUUCUCUCUUCUGAGGAAUGUCAUACCAGGUAUCGCAUUGAUGUGAUCCAUAAUAUAAACAAAACUAGGACCCCCUCCUUUUUAUAUUCUCAAGUAUUUGUAAAACUGUAACUCUUUUUUUUAAAAUUCGCCCUUUAAUGAUUGUUUUCAAACUCUUAUGUGUUUAAACUUAAAUCCCCUACUAUUUGAGCCUAUACUGUACAAAUUCACAAACUGUCUGGCCGGGAACCACACUAGUAGAUCCUGAGGGGUGCCUAACACCUUCCCCNNNNNNNNNNNNNNNNNNNNNNNNNNNNNNNNNNNNNNNNNNNNNNNNNNNNNNNNNNNNNNNNNNNNNNNNNNNNNNNNNNNNNNNNNNNNNNNNNNNNNNNNNNNNNNNNNNNNNNNNNNNNNNNNNNNNNNNNNNNNNNNNNNNNNNNNNNNNNNNNNNNNNNNNNNNNNNNNNNNNNNNNNNNNNNNNNNNNNNNNNNNNNNNNNNNNNNNNNNNNNNNNNNNNNNNNNNNNNNNNNNNNNNNNNNNNNNNNNNNNNNNNNNNNNNNNNNNNNNNNNNNNNNNNNNNNNNNNNNNNNNNNNNNNNNNNNNNNNNNNNNNNNNNNNNNNNNNNNNNNNNNNNNNNNNNNNNNNNNNNNNNNNNNNNNNNNNNNNNNNNNNNNNNNNNNNNNNNNNNNNNNNNNNNNNNNNNNNNNNNNNNNNNNNNNNNNNNNNNNNNNNNNNNNNNNNNNNNNNNNNNNNNNNNNNNNNNNNNNNNNNNNNNNNNNNNNNNNNNNNNNNNNNNNNNNNNNNNNNNNNNNNNNNNNNNNNNNNNNNNNNNNNNNNNNNNNNNNNNNNNNNNNNNNNNNNNNNNNNNNNNNNNNNNNNNNNNNNNNNNNNNNNNNNNNNNNNNNNNNNNNNNNNNNNNNNNNNNNNNNNNNNNNNNNNNNNNNNNNNNNNNNNNNNNNNNNNNNNNNNNNNNNNNNNNNNNNNNNNNNNNNNNNNNNNNNNNNNNNNNNNNNNNNNNNNNNNNNNNNNNNNNNNNNNNNNNNNNNNNNNNNNNNNNNNNGUUGUCCCAUACCCAAAAAUGUCAUAAACCCGAUUUUCCGAGGGAAAAAGGGGUCGCGACAACAUGGCACUGCUGGGGAUAUUUAGGCUUUUACCACUUCAGAUUGUUCUUGUGAAUUUGUACCCUCCCUUAUGUGCAAUUACUUGUUUAAAUUUCUUUAAGCAUUUAAUUUCCUUUUCAACUACAAAACUGACAUGUCGUCCCUGUUUCUUUCCUUUAUUGUCACUUUAAAUUAUGAAACUGUUGUAUUUAUCGCUUUCUUAACGUGCAAAUACAUGCCAACAUGCUUUUAAUUAUUGCAUUAUCAUUCUCAACAUCAUACUCCACUCGUGCCAAACAAAUAUUAUAGCAACGCUUAUAAUGAGUGGUUGCGCUCUUCCUAUAUCCUUACCCCCUAAAUUCGGAAAGGCAUAUUUGCGGUAAAACUAGUCGAUCAACAGUGCAGUUGACAGUUCCGUGCCUUCCCCCUUGAGUUGUUUGCUCAAGGGUACCAGUCUAAAACCCCAUAGAAACCUUAGUCUAUUCAAAUUGUGCAUGCAUCAUGGUUAAACCUAGUCGGGUCAGUUAUGUUAUCCACAUAAUGAUCCUUUAAGAUAUCCUUGUCCAAAGUCCACUGGGUUUCCCUGAACCCAAAUGGACAUCACCACGUUCUGUGCAUUUAUUUGGAGAACUAAAUGCUUCAUGCUAAUUUUUGGUAUUAAAUAGUCGAGUCUGGUGGGGGUAAUGACCUAAUCUUAUUUGUCUUGCAGAAAUAUGAGCCACGAAGUCCCUAGAUUUGGCAUGGUCACCAACAUCCACCCAAGACUAAGCUGGUGGAGAGAUUUACACUCCAGUGACCAAACUCUCGUCCGAUAUAUCUGGGAAAUCUACCGUCUCUCCUAGAGAUCCAACCUAACAGUAAGAUCAUAGAAGCUGCCACACUAUUUUGGGAUUGUGAAAGGGCUGUGUUCCACUUUGGGGACAUUGAAAUGACGCCCUUGCUAGAGCAGAUAGGAGGAUUGGCCGGUCUAGCGUGGGAAACUCCGGGUUUGUUAAUGUUUGAGAACUACAAGGGCAAGGGUUUCCUCAAAAUGAUUGGUUUGAAGAAGAACAUAGAAUUGACAUGUCUGAAGGAAUCAUACAUCCUUUUUGACUACUUGUAUGAAAGGUACGAGCACAGCAAAUCCUACCGUACCUACCCUGAAGAGUUUGCCAUCACAUCCUUGGGGCACAUCCAUCGAAGGGUUUUUGUCUUCAUGUUUUGUUUCUUGGGGUUGAUCGUAUUUCCGAUGAAGAAAGCAAGAAUCCAUACCAGGCUGACUAUGGUAACUAAGACCCUAAUGGAAGGGAUUGGUGGGUAGCCAUUCAGCACCGUGCCCAUGAUCAUUGCAGACAUAUACCGAGCCUUGGAAAAGUGUCAAGGAGGAGCAAAACACUUCGAAGGCUGCAAUUUAUUACUCCAACUCUAGCUCAUGGAACAUCUCCAAAAGGGCGAACACCGGUAAGAGAUUCAGCGAAGGGACUGGGAUGAUCACACCGCUUUCCAUCAUCCAAAGAGAAUGAAUUACAUCCCUGAUAUGUUCGCUCAGCUUGAUAAUGCCAAAGGAUGGGUUGAACUAUUCGAUAAUCUAACUGAAGAACAGGUUCAAUGGAUGUUUGAGUGGUUUCCGACCGAGGAAUUCAUCGCCCGAUCCAGAGAUGCACCUUUCCUAAUACUAAUUGGUCUUAGAGGAACAUACCCUUAUGUCCCUCUCUAAGCUAUUAGGCAAGAUGGUAGAAAGCAAGUUAUACCCAGGGUCGAUAAGAUGAGUCAUUUCCGAGCCGACUUCCAGAAUGAUGAUAGUCCCUACAAGUGCCAACCUCAGCAUAUGUGGCACUGUAAGAUCAUAAUGGGGAGAGAUACCAUUGAACCAGACAGGUAUCAUGCUGGUUGUGCUCCUUUCUAUUCAGGUUGGUUUGAAGAUAAUCAUGAUGGUCUAGGCCAGCCGGGGUUUGCUCGAGGUCACAGGAUUAUAGAUGAAAGGGCCAAGGCGCAGGUCAAGUACAACCCGCUGCGCAAAAGGAUCUGUGAGUACGAAAGCGAACAUCACGAAAUACAAGAGUCCAACCAGAAGCUAAUUGAGGAAUGGAAGGACAUGGCUGUCAGUGCCAACAAGCGGCUUGGAUACUUGGAGCAAGGCAUAGCGGAAUUGGAGAGAAAAUUUCUCAAGAGGGUCGAAGAUUGUCAAAAUGCUGAAGGGACCGAAGGCGGACAUCUAGCUAGAGCGUACCUGCUGCUGGGACUCUGCGAGUUGGGGAAGCCGUUCGACGGAGCCAAGAAUGCCAAAUCUGGGGAAGGUCCUUCAAGGACAAAGUAGAUAGGAGUUUAUAUUUUCGCUUUAUAAAUGUAAUAAGGCCAAUGGCCAUUAGUGACUUUUUAUUUCCUGUUUAUUUAGUGUCAAUUUGGGAUUCGUCUUGUUUUCUAUCAAUAAAAUGAGGCAUUUAGCAUUCUAAGUUCUCCAAAAUAAUUUGUCGCUAGGCCUAUCUCGGGCACAAAGAGGUCCCCAAAUUAGGACACGAUUACAUUCCCGCACUAUGUGUUUAAAUAUUGCAAUAUUUUUUAUAAUCCUCACUAACUUGGUUACCUUUUUGUUUUAUUCUUUGUUUUUGUUUUUAUUAUUCCCUUCCCCAAAGGUUAGUUCGUGCACUAUGACAUCAUCAUCCUAUUCCAUAAGAUCCAGGGGCCCUCCACCCACUCCUCCUCUUAGUCCUGUCAAAAACAAGAAUAAAAGCAAGAUGGAAGAUCUGAACAACGUUAGAAAGGAGAAUCCAACUGAAUGGGUAGAGGCCACUAACGACCAUGGUACUGAGGUUCCUAAGGAGAAUGUAUCCCAACUUGAACAGAAAUUGCUGAAAUUCCAAAAAGAGCUCGAUCAGGUUCAAAAUCUGGCAAGCCUAUCAUUUUCCCUCAGCACCCCGGAUAUCAACUUUCCCAACACUCAAAACCCUACACCUCCUCAAAAUAUCCCAAAGCAAUAGACUCAUCCCGCUUCUCACCACCACACUGUUCCGCCAAAGACCGAAUGCAACACCUGCCAUAUCCCAAACAAUACUCCACUACUCAUCCCAGAACCCCAAACUCCACAAACGAUCACUUUCACACCUACCAUAACACCCCUAUCUACGUGGAGAUCAUGCCACACUCCACCCAACCUAUCUCAAGCACACCUGAGUCUGAUGAAGAGGAUCUGCUUAUCAAAAACUUAGCUGAGGAACUUAAGAAACUGACCAGCUGGAUUCAAGGUGUUGAAGGAAGCAAGGGAAUUGAGGGGUUGAACUAUGAGGAUCUUUGCAUACAGCCUGAUGUCAAACUGCCCAAAGGGUACAAACCCCCUAAGUUCGAAAUGUUUGAUGGUACAGGUGAUCCAAGAGUCCAUCUGAGGACGUAUUGCGACAAGCUAGUUGGAGUAGGGAAAGAUGAGAGAAUUCGCAUGAAGCUGUUCAUGAGGAGUUUGAAAGGAGAUGCGUUGUCUUGGUACAUCAGCCAAGAUCCAAAGAAGUGGUCAAACUGGGUAGGCAUGGCAUCCGAUUUUAUGGACAGGUUCAGGUUUAAUAUAGAGAAUGCGCCAGACGUGUUCUAUAUUCAGAAUCUAAAUAAAAAGCCAACAGAGACAUUUCACGAGUAUGCUACUCGCUGGAGGUCCAAAACUGCUAAGGUCAGACCUGCCUUAGAAGAGGAAUAGAUGAACAAGUUCUUUGUCCGGGCUCAGGACCCGCAAUAUUAUGAAUGACUGAUGAUGAUCGAGAACCACAAAUUCUUUGACAUUAUCAAACUGUGUGAAAGAAUUGAAGAGGGUAUCAAAAGCGGUAUGGUUAAAAACUUUGAGGCCUUGCAAGCUACAAACAAGGCUUUACAGUCUGGUGGUGUGUCCAAGAAAGGGAUGUAGGGGCUAUGAUGGUUGCACAAAGGACCAAAUCUCCCCUCAAAUACCAAACUUACCCAACACCUCCACUCAUAUAUCAGCCGACCAAGCACCUUCACCCUCAUACCAAGCCCCACCACCAACUUAUCAAUCACCUCCACCUCCCACGUAUCAACCUACCUCACCCAGAUAUUCCCAACCCGCACAUGUCUACCAAACCUAUAAUUCUCAACCAUCCCACUAUCAAUCACCUCUUGCAUGCCAAAACUUCCCUAGACCUCAGUCAAAUUUCGAUCGCAGACCUCCAAAAUAAUAUACAACCAUUGCUGAACCUAUUGACCAGUUGUAUGAGAGACUCAAAGCCGCUGGUUAUGUCACCACCAUCCCUGCUGCAACUCCUGAGAACCAUUCUCAGUUGGUUAACCCAAACAAAUCCCGUGCAUACCACUCUGGCAUGAAAGGGCAUACCAUCGAUGAAUGUCGUUCCUUGAAAGACAAGAUCCAGUCUUUAAUUGAUAACAAGAUUAUAGUGACAAAGGAACCCGCUCUAAAUGUCCGCAACAAUCCUCUACCAGACCACAAGGGUGGAGGUAUCCACAUGAUUGAAAUAGAAGAUGACUAGGAUCCCGAGGGAUCAAUCAGGUUGAUCGCAGAAGGUGAUGACCCAAAGAGGCCAAUAGUUACCCUUAAUCCGAUCAUAGUCUAGAUUCAACCAUCUAAGGACGUUGAGGUGAAUAAGUAUGUGCCACUUGAGUUUGAAGCAAUGUCAUAUACAAAAAUACCAGCACCAAUUGAGGUUGAAUUCAUGUCUCCAACAAAUGCACCUGCACCAUUUGAGGUUACAGUUUUGCCACCCAAAGCACACGCUCUGUUUGGAGUAAAGAUAGCCAUGCCGAUCCCAGUGGCGAUGUUGACCAUGACACCAUUCCAUUCAAAGGUUGUAUCCUGGGACUAUACAGCCGAGGCGAGGAAGAAAGGCAAGGUCAGGUUCGAAGAGACUAUUGUAGCACAGGGUAUGACGAGAACUGGUAGAGUCUAUACCCCUGAACAUCUAGUUGAGUCAAGCAAGCAGGCCUCUAAUCGGCCACCCAUCAUUGAGACAGGUCCAGACGAUCUUUGGAGGAAGAUACAGGCUAAGGAGUAUUCCGUUAUCGACCAGUUAAACAAGACGCUAGCACAAAUAUCCAUUCUCUCCUUGCUGCAAAAUUCUGAGGCACACAAGAAUGCUCUACUAAAGGUGCUAAGUGAGGCAUACGUACCAGGCAACAUCACUGGCAUGGAAAUGGCUAACAUGGUAGGACAGGUGCUGGAGAGCCAUAAGAUCACCUUUCAUGAGGACGGGCUGCCACCUGAAGGGUUAGGGCACAAAGCAUUGCACAUCACUGUGCAAUGCGAAGAUUAUUUCAUCACUAGAAUCCUGAUCGAUGGAGGUUCCACUCUUAACAUUUGUCUGCUGGUAACACUCAAGAAGCUGGGUAAAGGGCUGCAUGAGAUAAAAGAUGGAGCAAUCAAUGUGAAAGCCUUAGAUGGUUCCCAGAGGUCCACCAUUGGUGAGAUUAUUCUAUGCUUACAGAUGGGACCAACCUGGUUCGAGGUUGAUUUCCAGGUAAUAGAUGUACCAGCGUCAUACAACUUACUACUAGGACGGCCGUGGAUUCAUGCUGCUGGAGCCGUAGCAUCAAUACUGCAUCAGGCGGUAAAGUUCGAAUGGAAUCACCAGGAAGUGAUCAUUCAUGGUGAUGGCAACAACCCUAUAUACAGUCGCCAGACCAUUCCGGCGAUCGAAGGAAGAAGGAAGUUGGGUGGAGAAACUUACCACCACAUCGAACGGGUCAAUGUUGUCGACAAAGACAAAUGGUGGGAUAACAAAAUUGAGAGUAUACUGAAUUGGAGCGGGUACGAACCUGGAAAGGGGCUCGGCAAGAAUCUCCAAGGAAUCUCUAAGCCCAUAAAACUCAAGAAACAUGGUGUCACACCUCCUUUUUACCUACACUCCCGGAAAGGGUAUAAGGGAGUUUUUUCCAACUUAAAGUGACAAUCGAAAUGAGAUUAUUUUAUUAAAAAUUCAGAGUCGCCACUUGGGAUAAUUUAUGGUGUCCCAAGUCACCGGUUCAAAUCCCGAAUCGAGGAAAGAAUGACUCUGUAUCACAGUCCGCGAACCAGAAAUCUGGGUAAGGAAUUCUGUUAACCCGGGAGAAGGUAUUAGGCAUUCCCGAGUUCCGUGGUUCUAUCACGGUCACUCAACUGUUAUAAUUGGCCUAUUAUCUGAUUUUAACACAUGAUCAAACCUAUGUGCAUUUUAACUUUAGACGGCUUUUAACCAUUUUUAAAGAAAGAUUUGCAACAUCAUUUAAAAUAUGUCUUGAACCACGUCACAUAAAUGCACCCGCAGUCCGCAACACAUUUUAUAUAACAUUGUUGAAAUUUGGAUUUGGGUCACAUAAAUGUGCACCCGAGUUUAGGAAGAUAGAUUAUUAAAAUAGCGCGCCUAAAGCAACUACGCACUUCCACAUUAGCGAGGGCCAUAGAAAAUUCACUAAAUGACACACCACGAUUUCUAAUUUCAAAGGAUUUUAUUGUUCGAAGUUAUUAUAACCGGGUACAUGAAAUGCGCCCCCGGAUUUUAGCAAUUAUGAAUCACAACUACGUCACGGGAACCGUACCGUAGCCACGAUGAUUUAUUUAUUAAUCGUGCCUAAAGUAAAAUACGAAUGUUUAGGAAUUACUCAUUUCCUAAAUUUAAGAAUCAAUGUAUGACCAUAGGACAUGAAUACGUAAAGAUUGGUAAUUAAGAAAUAUUUUAGCUAAUUGCAAUUAUCUUGGAGAAACCGUUUAUUAAAGAAUAGAAUGUAGACUACUCGUUUUGGGCCAGAAUGAUCAUCUCAAUUCUCUUUUAAAAUAUUAACACAAUCCACAUCAUAUUAAUUGUACCCAUGACAUUCCACCCAAACUUAUUGAAAGAAAGAAGAAGAAAAGAAAGAACGGAUCUAUGGUCCAUAAAUUAUUAACCAAUCUAGAAUUAAUAACAACUAAAACAUCUAGAACAAAUGCUGAAACUACCUCCAAGAUUUCUCAUGCUCUAAUGUCGACAAAAAAAAGAAAAUUCUCGUCACAAUUAAAAAUAUCCAAACAGUCAUUUCAUGCCAAACGAAAAAAAAACAUAUAGCUAGAUAAUAACUCUUCGGUUAAUAACCCAAUGAUUCACGCCUUCAAAGACAAAAGAUAGGAAGAAGAAUGGGCCGUUGUAUUAAAUGAAUCUGAAGUUUAAGAAACUUACAUCUGUUCAAGCCAAGACAAUAAUCAUGAUCAUAAACCUUUGCCCGCGGCAGCCUCGACGGACCUCUCGAACCACAAACAGGACCAACAAUCUUUAAUUCCGAAACUCCGAUACUAGCACCCGGUGGUUAUGGAGCUGUUUUGUGAGGUAUGUUUGUGCUGAUUUUCAGCUGUUUCCAUGGAAUUUUUCGCCUGGAAUGUUGGAGGUAUUUUGGAGCUAGUUUUUUUGGAUUUUAAUGGUAGAAACAGGGGCUGCUCGGGGUGAGGUUUUGGAGCGCUUUUCGCGGCUGAAGCUUAUGGGUUUUUCUACUGGAAGUUCGAAGAUGGAGAAGAAGGUUCAUUUUUAACCUUUUUUCGUUAUCUCCAUCUCUGUUUCUUGUUCUGGCUUAUGGGCGCUGUUCUUCUUUCUUUUGGGAUUAGGUUUCUUUUUUGUUUGAUUCUUGAGCAAGAAGGAGAUGAACAAAGAGACUCUUGGCUGUAGGAUAGGAAAGGAGAUGGAUGCCAUUUUUUUGUUGCUUUAGAGUUGUAGGAAUUGAAAAAACUUGGUUAUGGUUUCUAUAAUUAGGUAUUUUAUAGGGAUGUGGAAAGGGAUGAUGACCAUUGAAUUAGAAGGAAAAUAGAUGAUUAGGAUUAAAUCUUGUACUUAAAUUGGCUAAUGGGUUGAGAAGAAUGGGCUAAGGGUAAUUGGGUUGGACCAUGUCUUUUAUUUCAAUUUUGGGCUAAGAAACUCCAAAAUUAUUAUUUAAAAUCAUAGCUAAAUUCCCUUAAUAUAAGAUAAAUUCUAAUUAAUUAAACUAAACUAUAUUAAAACAUGAAACUAUUACAUAUUUUUUUUAUAUUUUUUCAAGAUUAUAUAAAGAUAAAAUUAAGGUACUAUUUUUUGUAUUUUUUUUACUCUAUGAAAGGUACAUAAAAUAAAAAUAUUUUUUGUAAUUUUUAUUUUCUUGUAAUAAAUAAAGUAAAAGAGUAAGAAUGAGUUGAAAUAGCUAUAUUGAGCCUAAAUUAAAUAUUUACGUGAUAAAAUAUGGAAAAUCUUGGGGAGGGUCAAAAGUCACAUGUCUACACAUGGCACAACCUUCGGUUUGGGAUAUGAAUACACCUGGGAAGAAUUCAACAACUGGUCGCCACCAUGGCGCGGUCCUUACUAUCCACUAGAGCGGCCAAUACCACAUCUGGAGUAGACCUUCCAACAUGCCAACAUUAUUUAUAGGUCAAACGAAGAAGAAGCACUUACAACAGUGAAGAAUUUGUUCCUAAAAGGCAAUGAUAUGGAUUGUUGUGUUGUUCUCGAAGAGGAGUGGGAGGAAGGCUCUUCCAUACAGGCUGUGAGCAAAGGGGCACACCUCAACAAUUGGACCAUCAGGACAACUAGAGCCCGACGAGCCUCGGGGUAGCAAGGCUAAAACAAGAAUCAUUCACUGUUUUAUUUACUAAAUAAUUUUCUUUUCGCAUUUUCAAUUCCCGCAAUAAAAAACCUUCAAUGUUCAAAACAGCUAUGCAAUUUAUCAAAGCAUUUUGACUUUUCUUAUGAAUCAACACUCAUUAUCAUUUUCUCUCA